UGGGGAAUUUUGGACAAUGGGCGCAAGCCUGAUCCAGCCAUUCCGCGUGAGUGAAGAAGGCCUUCGGGUUGUAAAGCUCUUUCGCAAGGGAAGAAAACUUAACCUCUAACAUAGGUUGAGGCUGACGGUACCUUGAUAAGAAGCACCGGCUAACUACGUGCCAGCAGCCGCGGUAAUACGUAGGGUGCGAGCGUUAAUCGGAAUUACUGGGCGUAAAGCGUGCGCAGGCGGCAUGAUAAGUCAGAUGUGAAAUCCCCGAGCUCAACUUGGGAACUGCGUUUGAAACUAUCAAGCUAGAAUAUGUCAGAGGGGGGUAGAAUUCCACGUGUAGCAGUGAAAUGCGUAGAGAUGUGGAGGAAUACCAAUGGCGAAGGCAGCCCCCUGGGAUAAUAUUGACGCUCAUGCACGAAAGCGUGGGGAGCAAACA
rnacentral:rRNA from 1 species